ACUGCGACCGCCAAUACUGUGACAAACUUUUUGAGACCACUCCUGUGGAGUUAACUUCUUCAUGGCCUCAGGUGAAACAAGACAUGCAUGAGCAACUUUAGUAUCGUCAGAUGCUAACAAGUAAAUACUUUUAUCCUUCAAAUUUUUCUUAGCAUAAGUAAGGGCAAAACUUAAGGCUUUGGGAUUAGCAGAAAUAGGGACCUUAGCGACAACAAAUGACAU